rnacentral:pre_miRNA from 1 species
UUUGUACUCCCUCCGUCCGGAAAUACUUGUCAUCAAACUGAAUAAAAGGGGAUGUAUCUAGAUGUAUUUUAGUUAUAGAUACAUCUCUUUUUAUCCAUUUUGAUGACAAGUAUUUUCGGACGAAGGGAGUAACAA